UACGGAGGGCGCAAGCGUUGUUCGGAUUUACUGGGCGUAAAGCGCACGUAGGCGGCUUUUUAAGUCAGGGGUGAAAUCCCGGGGCUCAACCCCGGAACUGCCCUUGAAACUGGAAGGCUAGAAUCUUGGAGAGGCGAGUGGAAUUCCGAGUGUAGAGGUGAAAUUCGUAGAUAUUCGGAAGAACACCAGUGGCGAAGGCGACUCGCUGGACAAGUAUUGACGCUGAGGUGCGAAAGCGUGGGGAGCAAACAGG
rnacentral:rRNA from 1 species